GGAUUAGAUACCCUGGUAGUCCACGCCGUAAACGAUGUCAACUAGCCGUCGGAUUCAUUUUGGAAUUUGGUGGCGCAGCUAACGCGAUAAGUUGACCGCCUGGGGAGUACGGCCGCAAGGUUAAAACUCAAAGGAAUUGACGGGGGCCCGCACAAGCGGUGGAGCAUGUGGUUUAAUUCGAUGCAACGCGAAGAACCUUACCAGCCCUUGACAUCCAGUGAACUUUCUAGAAAUAGAUUGGUGCCUUCGGGAACACUGUGACAGGUGCUGCAUGGCUGUCGUCAGCUCGUGCCG
rnacentral:rRNA from 1 species